UCGAGAAUCUUCGGCAAUGGGCGCAAGCCUGACCGAGCGACGCCGCGUGGAGGAUGAAGGCCUUCGGGUUGUAAACUCCUGUCGAGGGGGAGGAAGGCGCAAGCUUGACCGAUCCCUGGAGGAAGCACGGGCUAAGUUCGUGCCAGCAGCCGCGGUAAGACGAACCGUGCGAACGUUAUUCGGAAUCACUGGGCUUAAAGCGCGUGUAGGCGGAUUGGCGCAUCGAUUGCUGAAAGCCCCCGGCUCAACCGGGGAACGGGCGUCGAGAUGGCCAGUCUGGAGGGGGGUAGGGGGACCUGGAACUUCCGGUGGAGCGGUGAAAUGCGUUGAGAUCGGAAGGAACGCCCGUGGCGAAAGCGAGGUCCUGGACCCUUUCUGACGCUGAGACGCGAAAGCCAGGGGAGCAAACGGGAUUAGAUACCCGCGUAGUCC
rnacentral:rRNA from 1 species